UCUAAUUUUAUAGAGCAAAGCUUUCUCUUUCAUUAUCAAUAGGCGUAGUUCAUGAAUUUCUCACCAGGUGGUGUUACUGGCGCAAUUUAGUGAGCACCCCCCAAGAAGAGCAUUUUAAAUUUCGCGCGAGUUAUCCCACGUCCAAUCACACAUGCAGCGAACGUCACGUCUCGAGUCUGCGCAGUUCAGACGUAAGGAGACCAUGCUAUGGAAUAGAUCGCGUUCUGUCAAUUCAGAGGACAGGAAUGAUCUGCAGCUGCAUUUGAACAUAUUUGGUGACCACAUCUCAAAGAUGACCAAGAGAGAGGAUCGAGCUAUGACUUUGCACAUCCCAUCGACUUCGGUGUUCACCAGUGCAAUCAUCAGAAGAGCCAGGCAAUUCUAGUAUUCAAGUAUUUCAUUCUGUAAUACUUACCUCAAAAUUUACUAAAUAAAGAAAACCGCAUGUGGCAGUUGGUUAAAAAAAUCAA